CUACGGGGGGCAGCAGUGGGGAAUAUUGGACAAUGGGGGAAACCCUGAUCCAGCAAUGCCGCGUGUGUGAAGAAGGCCUGCGGGUUGUAAAGCACUUUCGGUUGGGAGGACUGCUUCUAGCACUAAUAUUGUUGGAAGUUGACGUUACCUUCAGAAGAAGCACCGGCUAACUCCGUGCCAGCAGCCGCGGUAAUACGGAGGGAGCAAGCGUUAAUCGGAAUUACUGGGCGUAAAGCGCGCGUAGGCGGCUAGAUCAGGCGGGUGUGAAAGCCCCGGGCUUAACCUGGGAACUGCAUCCGAUACUGUCUAGCUUGAGUACAGGAGAGGAGAGUGGAAUUCCACAUGUAGCGGUGAAAUGCGUAGAUAUGUGGAGGAACACCAAUGGCGAAGGCAGCUCUCUGGCCUGAUACUGACGCUGAGGUGCGAAAGCGUGGGGAGCAAACAGGAUUAGAUACCCGGGUAGUC
rnacentral:rRNA from 1 species